rnacentral:lncRNA from 1 species
GAUUAGUUCCCUUUUAAUUCCUUGCAAGACCAUAGCAUGUAUUUAGGACUCAAUGUAAAGGACUAUGGACACUAUAAGUGAUGUACACCGACACGAGCACCGACACAUGCACACACCCCACAUGGAUAUUCUAGAUGCAUGAUUAGGGAAUGUAUGUUUAGAUGUAUGCUUAGGUUUUACAACGCUUAGACAAAAAUCAUUUUCCCAAAAA